AUUGAACGCUGGCGGCAGGCCUAACACAUGCAAGUCGAACGAGUGGCGGACGGGUGAGUAAUGUCUGGGAAACUGCCUGAUGGAGGGGGAUAACUACUGGAAACGGUAGCUAAUACCGCAUACCAUCGGAUGUGCCCAGACGGGAUUAGCUAGUAGGUGGGGUAAAGGCUCCCCCAGGCGACGAUGCCUAGCUGGUCUGAGAGGAUGAUCGGCCAGACGGGAACUGAGACACGGUCCAGACGCCUACGGGAGUCAGCAGUGGGGAAUAUUGCACAAUGGGCGCAAGCCUGAUACAGCCAUGCCGCGUGUAUGAAGAAGGCCUUCGGGUUGUAAAGUACUUUCAGCGGGGAGGCGUUACCCGCAGAAGAAGCACCGGCUAACUCCGUGCCAGCAGCCGCGGUAAUAC
rnacentral:rRNA from 1 species